rnacentral:rRNA from 1 species
AUUGAACGCUGGCGGCAGGCCUAACACAUGCAAGUCGAGCGGAUGAAUCGAGCUUGCUCCUGGAUUCAGGGGCGGACGGGGGAGUAAUGCCUAGGAAUUUGCAUGGAAGUGGGGGAUAACGUCCGGAAACGGGCGGUAAUACCGCAUACGUCCUGAGGGAGCAAGUGGGGGAUCUUCGGACUUCACGCUAUCAUAUGAGCCUAGGUCGGAUUAGCUAGUUGGUGGGGUAAAGGCCUACCAAGGCGACGAUCCGUAACUGGUCUCAGAGGAUGAUCAGUCAGAUUGGCUGUGAGACUCGGUACCCACUCCUACGCGAAGACACAGCCGAAACUAUUAGACGAUGCACCAGAGCCUGAUCCUGCCCAACCGCGUAUGUGCAGAAGAAGUUCGGAUUGGUAAGCGGUUAAAGUUGUGAGGAAGGGCAAUACGUUAAUACCUUGCUAUAUUGACGUUACCAAGAGAAUAAGCACCGGCUAACUUCGUG